AGCCUCCUAGUGCUCCACAGUCUGUGUUCUUAGAAAGAGGAGGCAAAGUAAACCUACCCCAUCUACACCUCAGCCCAGGCCCUGUGCCUGGUCUGUAUUGUGAAUGGGGGUAGGGAG
rnacentral:snoRNA from 1 species